UACGAAGGGGGCUAGCGUUGCUCGGAAUGACUGGGCGUAAAGGGCGCGUAGGCGGAUGGCACAGUCAGAUGUGAAGUUCCCGGGCUUAACCUGGGGGCUGCAUUUGAUACGUGUGAUCUAGAGUGAGGAAGAGGGUCGUGGAAUUCCCAGUGUAGAGGUGAAAUUCGGUAGAUAUUGGGAAGAACACCGGUGGCGAAGGCGGCGACCUGGUCCUUGACUGACGCUGGAGGCGACGAAAGGCGUGGGGAGCAAACAGG
rnacentral:rRNA from 1 species